UUCACAAGCUUGACAGCUCCCCACUUC
rnacentral:piRNA from 1 species